rnacentral:rRNA from 1 species
GACGAACGCUGGCGGCGUGCUUAACACAUGCAAGUCGAACGGACAGGCCCUGCUUGCGGGGUACUCGUGUGGCGAACGGGUGAGUAACACAUGGGUGGUCUACCCUCCUCUUCGGGUUAAGCCUGGUCAAGUAGGCCUAGUACAGGCCAGGAGCCAUUUUUAGCCGCAUGGUUGGAAAGUUUUUUGCGUGUAGGAUGAGCUCGCGGCCUAUCAGCUUGUUGGUGGGGUAAUGGCCUACCAAGGCGGCGUCGGGUAGCCAGCCUGAGUGGGUGGACGGCCACAUUGGGACUGAGGGACGGCCCAGACACCGACGGGAGGCAGCAGUGGGGAAUAUUGCACGAGCGGCGCAAGCCUGAUGCAGAGACGCCGCGGGGCGGAUGACGGCCUUCGGGGUGUAAACUCUUUGCGCAAGGGACGGAGCACUUUGUGACGGUACCUAGAUAAGAAGCACCGGCUAACUACGUG